AAUAGAUACCCUGGUAGUCCUGGCCCUAAACGAUGGGUACUAGGUAGUGGACUUACAUGGGUUCACUGCCGAAGCAAAAGUGAUAAGUACCCCGCCUGGGGAGUAUGGUCGCAAGGCUGAAACUCGAAAGGAAUUGACGAGGGCUCACACAAGCGGUGGAGCAUGUGGCUUAAUUCGAGGCUACGCGAAGAACCUUAUCCUGGACUUGACACGUGCGAAAGCGGUAGGAAGUAGGGUGCGGAAACGUUACCCCAACGGUAUCCAGUCCGGAACCUACCACAGGUGCUGCAUGGCUGUCGUCAGCUCGUGUCGUGAGAUGUCGGGUUAAGUCCCAUAACGAGCGAAACCCCUGUCUCCAGUUGCCAGCGAGUCAUGUCGGGGACUCUGGAGAGACUGCCGGUGUUAAACCGGAGGAAGGUGGGGAUGACGUCAAGUCCUCAUGGCCUUUAUGUCCAGGGCUGCACACGUGCUACAUUGGCCGAUACAGAGGGUUGCGAUACCGCGAGGUGGAGCGAAUCCCAAAAAGUCGGUCUCGGUUCGG
rnacentral:rRNA from 1 species